UGGAACAGGAGUGAAGCAGAUGAGGUUGA
rnacentral:piRNA from 2 species